rnacentral:rRNA from 1 species
AGCAGCCGCGGUAAUUCCAGCUCCAAUAGCGUAUAUUAAAGUUGUUGCAGUUAAAAAGCUCGUAGUUGAAUUUCGGGGUUAGUAAGUUGGUCAUGCCUUCGGUAUGUACUGGCUUUACUGAUUCCUCCUUCUUGACGAACCGUGAUGUCAUUAAUUUGGUGUUGCGGGAAAUCAGGACUGUUACUUUGAAAAAAUUAGAGUGUUUAAAGCAGGCUAACGCUUGAAUACAUUAGCAUGGAAUAAUGAAAUAGGACGUUUGAUCCUAUUUUGUUGGUUUCUAGGAUUGACGUAAUGGUUAAUAGGGAUAGUUGGGGGCAUUAGUAUUCAAUUGUCAGAGGUGAAAUUCUUGGAUUUAUUGAAGACUAACUACUGCGAAAGCAUUUGCCAAGGAUGUUUUCAUUAAUCAAGAACGAAAGUUAGGGGAUCGAAGACGAUCAGAUACCGUCGUAGUCUUAACCAUAAACUGUGCCGACUAGGGAUCGGAUGAUGUUAAUUCUUUAAUGACUCA